rnacentral:rRNA from 1 species
GUAGGUGGCAAGCGUUGUCCGGAAUUAUUGGGCGUAAAGCGCGCGCAGGCGGUCCUUUAAGUCUGAUGUGAAAGCCCACGGCUCAACCGUGGAGGGUCCUUGGAAACUGGGGGACUUGAGUACAGAAGAGGAAAGCGGAAUUCCACGUGUAGCGGUGAAAUGCGUAGAGAUGUGGAGGAACACCAGUGGCGAAGGCGGCUUUCUGGUCUGUAACUGACGCUGAGGCGCGAAAGCGUGGGGAGCAAACAGGGAUUAGAUACCCUGGUAGUCCACGCCGUAAACGAUGAGUGCUAAGUGUUAGGGGGUUUCCCGCCCCCUUAGUGCUGCAGCUAACGCAUUAAGCACUCCGCCUGGGGAGUACGGCCGCAAGGCUG